rnacentral:rRNA from 1 species
GACAGAGGAGGCAAGCGUUGGUCGGAAUCAUUGGGCUUAAAGCACGCGUAGGCGGCCUUGUAAGUGUCUUGUGAAAUCCCACGGCUCACCAGAGGAACUGCAGGGCAAACUGCAAGACUUGAGGUCGGUAGAGGCGCCUGGAACUCUAGGUGGAACGGUGAAAUGCGUAGAUAUCUAGGGGAACGCCGGAGGCGAAGGCGGGGCGCUGGGCCGAUUCUGACGCUGAUGCGCGAAAGCGUGGGGAGCAAACAGG